GAGAAAAUAGCUCAGUUGGUUAGAGUGUUGGUCUGUCACGCCAGAAGUCGCGGGUUCGAACCCCGUUUUCCCCG
rnacentral:tRNA from 1 species